rnacentral:rRNA from 1 species
UACGAAGGGGGCUAGCGUUGUUCGGAAUCACUGGGCUUAAAGGGCGCGUAGGCGGGCCGCCAAGUCAGGGGUGAAAGCCCCCAGCUCAACUGGGGAAGUGCCUUUGAUACUGGCGGUCUCGAGGGGGAUAGGGGCGUGCGGAACUUCCGGUGGAGCGGUGAAAUGCGUAGAUAUCGGAAGGAACACCGGUGGCGAAAGCGGCGCGCUGGAUCCCUUCUGACGCUGAGGCGCGAAAGCCAGGGGAGCGAACGGG